rnacentral:misc_RNA from 1 species
UACGGAGGGUGCGAGCGUUAAUCGGAAUUACUGGGCGUAAAGCGCGCGUAGGCGGCUUGAUAAGCCGGUUGUGACAGCCCCGGGCUCAACCUGGGAACGGCAUCCGGAACUGUCAGGCUAGAGUGCAGGAGAGGAGGGUAGAAUUCCCGGUGUAGCGGUGAAAUGCGUAGAGAUCGGGAGGAAUACCGGUGGCGAAGGCGGCCUUCUGGACAGAAACUGACGCUGAGGUGCGAAAGCGUGGGUAGCAAACAGG